UUUUUCAUUUCUUUACCCUUCUCUCCCUCAAUUAACUCCUUUACGAGCUUCUUCACUUCAUCUCUCUUCACAUCAUUAUCUAUCUCCACACCAAUACCCCAUUCCUUACAAGCAAACCUGCAGUUAGUAGGCUGCUCACCGCCAAUUGGCCAACAAACCAUUGGAACUCCACUUGACAAGCUUUCAGUCGUCGAAUUCCAUCCCAUGUGGCUUAGAAACCCUCCAAU
rnacentral:misc_RNA from 1 species